CACGCGCAUUAAGUGAAGAGGUAGCAGUAGCAUGUAAACGAGCAAAUUACACUGAUUUAGCAUCUUUGUACAAGUCGUUCUGCAGUAAGUUUGAGACAGAAUAUUGUUACAGGAGUAGUGCAACUCUGUUCAGGAAUAGUUCAGGUAGUAGUUGUGUGCGUAGAGAGAGGGAGAGAGAGCGGCGAUGCUGGCGACCGGAGCAGACUGUUAGCUAGUUAGCUAGCAGUUAGCCGUAUAGCCCUGAGUGCAGAGCAAUGUAUGUGCACUGUAGGCUAUUUGUGCUAUAACUACAACGACAACUCUUUAAGAUCGAAGUUCCCACCUGUCCACUGUGCUUCUCAACCAGAGUCCAGACUAUGAGCCAGGAAAGGUUAACAACACUGAGGCUGGAAAAUACAGGCAGGGUGUCAUUGUCACUUAAUGACAGGAAGGAGAAAUGUCCAGGCAAAGAGCAGCAAGCUGCAGGAGAGAGACUUUCAGCACAGGAAAGACAGGCAGCACUGAAUCAUGAAACAGGACAAGCCCUGAAUUUAAGAGAGAUUUGCUUCUACGACUGUCAUGGAAAAGGAGGCUUCCUGGAAAUGACAGUUUACUAUGUGGCGGAGAGAAAGGAAAUAGAAAAUGUCCUGUGACGGUACACAUGGUAAGAACUCACUCAUUUAUUCAUUUGAUGAAAAAAAAAAAACAACAGCAGCAAAUGCAAUAGUAGAGUUAAAAGUUGAUUUCCAGAUUAAUUUCCUUGAAAGGACUCAUAAGAUAAAACUUGCUCAAGUAAUACAUCACCCAUUUUACAUUUAUGCGUCAGCUGACCUGAUGUGGUACUACAGCGAAAUAACUUUAAUUUUGGCAAAAGAAGGUUAUGCUGUCAUUGAUUUAGAUUUAAUUGUAAGUAUACCAAUUGAACACAUUUGUUCCACAUUACGUACUGUGUUAUAGAAACUGUCCUAAGAAAUUGCAGUACGUAUAACAGUUUCUUCAUAAGAAAUUAGUAGGAAACUAGAGGACAUGUAAAAUAAAGCAUUACCAAGAAAUUUGUUGAAUAUGAGCAUUUGUCCACACUGUGUUACCCUUUAUUCUGCUUCGCUUUCCAAGCAUGAGUACCCGCUGGCUGUCAGAUGUCAACAUCUACUACCCUGUACGUACAAACCCCUGGCCCUAUGCC